GACGAACGCUGGCGGCGUGCCUAAUACAUGCAAGUCGAACGGUCUUUUCUAUGGAAGCUUGCUUCCACUGAGAAGAUAGUGGCGGACGGGUGAGUAACACGUGGGUAACCUGCCCAUAAGAGGGGGAUAACAUCCGGAAACGGGUGCUAAUACCGCAUAGUUUUCUUGAUCGCAUGAUUGAGAAAGGAAAGACGGCCUUUGUGCUGUCGCUUAUGGAUGGACCCGCGGCGUAUUAGUUAGUUGGUGAGGUAAUGGCUCACCAAGACGAUGAUACGUAGCCGACCUGAGAGGGUGAUCGGCCACAUUGGGACUGAGACACGGCCCAAACUCCUACGGGAGGCAG
rnacentral:rRNA from 1 species